AUUAUUUUGGCAGAUUAGUGUGUUAAAUUUAGAAUUUAAUUAUGUUUAUAUUAAACAAAUAAUA
rnacentral:tRNA from 1 species